CGAGUUAAAGAUUGGAAUAGAUAAUUAUAACAAUGAGAUGCAAUGUUUGAAAAUUUGUCCCUGGAACAAGCGGCACCCCUAUUAUGUGUUGGGGUUACAAUGUACAGUCUAAUGAAGCAUUCUGGAUUGGCAGAGGCAGGGCAGAUAUGUGGAAUAUUGGGCUUGUGGGGCGUAAGGGCACAUAGGUGUGAAGAUGAAUACCUUGUUGGCAACGAUGCUAGCCAAAUGCAGGGUAAAAUGCCACCACUGUGAGUGCCUCCGCCUCUACCUCUGCCUCUGCUGCGAGCAGAUAAACUGAAAACCCCAAAUGUUUCGAUUCAAUCAGAAAGCACAGCACUUGGGUUUCUUAUGGCUCGAGAAACGAGAAUGACAUUUAGUCGGAAUGGCCCUUUCUCUCUUUCUAUCCGUUAAAUCUGAUAUCAGAAAGAGGAUAUAAUCAUCAAUUGAGUUACUUCCGUGACAAAUUUAUUUAAUUAUAUUCUUGGCUUCUGUAAAUAAUUUCUCCUUUCCAAGUA